GAGAGUUUGAUUCUGGCUCAGGACGAACGCUGGCGGCGUGCCUAACACAUGCAAGUCGAGCGAAUGAAGUUCCUUCGGGAACGGAUUUAGCGGCGGACGGGUGAGUAACACGUGGGCAACCUGCCUCAUAGAGGGGAAUAGCCUUCCGAAAGGGAGAUUAAUACCGCAUAAGAUUGUAGUACCGCAUGGUACAGCAAUUAAAGGAGCAAUCCGCUAUGAGAUGGGCCCGCGGCGCAUUAGCUAGUUGGUGAGGUAACGGCUCACCAAGGCGACGAUGCGUAGCCGACCUGAGAGGGUGAUCGGCCACAUUGGGACUGAGACACGGCCCAGACUCCUACGGGAGGCAGCAGUGGGGAAUAUUGCACAAUGGGGGAAACCCUGAUGCAGCAACGCCGCGUGAGUGAUGACGGCCUUCGGGUUGUAAAGCUCUGUCUUCAGGGACGAUAAUGACGGUACCUGAGGAGGAAGCCACGGCUAACUA
rnacentral:rRNA from 1 species